rnacentral:lncRNA from 1 species
GCCAUGGUCAAGUCAUCUCAUGUCUCUUAGCUUCACUGUUCUCAGUUGUCAAAUACAUUUACAAAAUCACAGGCACACGAAAAGUAAUGCAAAAUACCAGACAUGGUAACUACAUGGGUAAAUACUUAUUUUAAAAAGAGUCAUAUUUAAAUAUAUUUAAAAGGGCAGCCCGGCGGUUUAGCACCACCUUCAGCCCAGGGUGUGAUCCUGGAGAUCCGGGAUGGAGUCCCAUGUCAGGCUCCCAGCAUGGAGCCAUGGAGCCUGCUUCUCUCUCUAAAUAAAAAAAAAAAAAUCUUAAAAAAUGAAUAUAUUUAAAAGAUUAUUAUUGAAAACAAAUAUAUUAACAAUGUAUUGUGAAUUUUAUAAUGUACAUGGAAGUAAAAUAUACAAUAAUAGUGAAAGGGCAGGAGGGAAGCAAUGGAUUCUUACAUAUGAAGUAUAAUCAUAGCACUUGAAGAUAGACUAUAAGCAAAGAUAUAUGUUAUAAAUUCUAAAGUAAUUACUGAAAUAAUAAAACAGAGGUGUAGCUAAAAACUGAGGUAAAGAGUAAUUAAAGGAUGCCUGAGUGGCUCACGGUUUAGCGCCGCCUGCAGCCCAGGGUGUGAUCCUGGAGACCUGGGAUCGAGUCCCGCGUCGGGCUCCCUGCAUGGAGCCUGCUUUUCCCUCUGCCUGUGUCUCUGCCUCUCUCUCUCUCUCUCUGUGUGUCUCUAUGAAUAAAUAAAUAAAAUCUUAAAAAAAAGAUAGAAUAUAAUAAAGAUCCAAUGUAAUAUCUCUCAAUGAAAUAGAAGACAGAAAAACAAGAGAAAAUCGAUGAAACCAAAAACUUAUUCUUUGAAAAUAUCAGUAAAAUUGAUAAACAUCUAGCCAGAUUGAUCUAGAAUAAAAAUAAAUAGACACACAUCACAAAUAUCAAGAAUGUGAGAGGUGAGGGGUGCCUAGGUGUCAGUUGGUUACACAUGAUCCCAGGGUCCUCAGAUUGAGUUCAAUGGUAGGGAGCCUGCUCCUCCCUCUUCCUCUGCUGCUCCCCUUGCCUGUGCUCUUUCACUCUGUCAAAUAAAUAAAUUAAAAAUCUUUUAAAAAAAAAAAAGAAUGUGAGAGGUGAAUAUUAUUAAUUAACUUCAUACCAACAGAUUUGACAAUUUAGAUGAAAUGGAUAAAUCUGAAAGAUACACAAAGUACAAAGACUUACUAUAGUGAUUUAAAUAGUGUCCCCCAAAUUAUAGUCUUUGCAGGUGUAAUUGGUUAAAGAUCUUGAGGUGAAAUCUUGGAUUUAGAUCCUAAAUCCAGUUACUUGUGUCUUUAUAAGAGAAAGGAGAGAUAAAUGUACACAUAGACACAGGAAAGAAAGACAUGAGAAGACCGAGGCAGAGAUUGAAGUUAUGCUGCCAGAAGCCAAGGAAUUCCAGGAACCACCAGCAGUUGGAAGAGGCAAGGAAGGGUGAAGUUGGAGGAAUUAUACUACCUGGUAUCAAGACUUAUUUGAAUGCUAUAGUGCCAAUGUGAUAGUGGCAUAAAGAUAGACAUAUGGAUUAAUGCAACAGAAUAGAGAUCCACUGAUUUUUUACAAAAGUAAUUCAUUGGAUAAUAGUGUUUCCUACAAAUGGUUUUGGAGCAAUCGGAUGUUCAUAUGCAAAAAUGUGAACUUGAAUCCCUAUCUCUUAUUAUAUGCAAAAGUUAACAAAAUGGAUUAUAGAUCUAAAUUUUAAAUGUAAAACUGUGAAGCUUUUGGAAUAAAACAGGAAAAAAAAGUCCAUGUGGUCUUGAGUUAGGCAGAUUUCGUAGAAAUGACACUGAAAGCAAGAUCUGUAAAAAAAUCAAUAAAUUAGACUUUAUCCCGAUUAAAUAUUUUUGCUUUUCAAAAGACACUAAGAGAAUAAUUAAAAACCCACAGAUAUGAAAAGGUGUUUGUACAUCAAAUAUCCAAUAAUAGAUUUUAUUCCAGAACAUAUGAAAAACUCUCCAGAUAUUAUUAUAAGAAGUCAAAUAAACUAAUAAACAGGCAAAAGAUUUUUACAUAAACUUCAUCAGAGAAAACAUAUGUACAGCAAAUCAGCAUUUGUCAUUAAUCACUAGGUAAUACAAAUUAAAACCACAAAACAUGCCACUACAUAUCUUAUUAGAGUAUCUAAAAUUACAAGGAAUGAAGACACCAAUUGUUGGCAUGGAUGUGGAAAAAUUAGAAAUCCAACAUCCAUGGGAUCCCUAGGCGACUCACUGGUUUAGCCCUUUGGCCCACGGCAUGAUCCUGGAGUCCCAGGACUCGUCCCACAUCAGGCUUCCUGUAUGGAGGCUGCUUCUUCCUCUGCCUGUGUCUCUGCCUCUCUCUCUCUGUGUGUGUCUCUCCUGAAUAAAUAGAUAAAUAAAAUCUUAAAAAAAAAAAAAGAAAAAAA